UAGGCUUUUCAUUUCCCACUCCCUUGGUUGCUCCACGUAUUGUUCCAGAUGUCCUCUUUUCUAACCUUUUCAUUUUUCACUCCCUUGGUUGCUCCACGUAUUGUUGCAGGUGUCUCCUUUUCCAAUCUUCAUCCCAAGUCUUUUCAGUUUUCUUUUUAUUUUUCCAUUUCUCUUUCUCCCGUGGCAAAAGACUCAUUUCUCUUUCUCUCUCACUCACUUUCUUUCUCUGUACAACUUGGAAGCUUUCUCUCUCUCAAAACAAAGCUCCUCGAGAGGGGUUUUGACAAAAAUGCAAUUGAGGUUUCAGCUUCAGGGGAAAAGCUCUGUAACGAAGGGAAAACAAGGGAGGGUUAAGGAGACAGAGGGUGUUUUGAAUGGAGCCGUUUAUUCUCACUGCCAUGGCUUCUUCUCAGUUCAGAAGAUUAUCAGGAAGAAGCCCAGGUUUUUUGUUCAACAGGAAGAAGCGCAGGUUUUUUUCUUGCUCUCUCUUAGUUUGUGUUUUUUUUAUUUUCUUUUAUUAUUAUUAUUAUUAUUAUUAUUAUUAUUAUUAUUAUUAUUAUUAUUAUUAUUAUUAUGUAGUUAGGUGUCCUUUUUUAUGUUAUAAUGGCCGAGUGAACUUUGAAAUUUUUCUUUGAGGUUCCUGGUGUGUGUAGGUGGUGAUAAUAAAGAAAACCAAAAAAGGUCGUAGAAGAUUAAAAAGGCUUUAAUAGGUCGAAUUGGUUGCCUUGAGCAGCCAGUGUUAACAUGCAAAGCCGGGUAGGGAUUCCAAUGAUAUGUUGGCUGAGGUUGUCAAGAAUUCUUGGAAAAAAAGAGCAAAGGAAUCAGUCGUGAUUAGUAAAGGGGAGGGCUCUGAUUUUGUGGCAAAAGCUGUGGAUUUAGCAGCCAGAGAAUUAAUAACAAGUGCAUCACUAGGACAAGGUUUGAUCUGCGUUGCUUUUUGUCUCUUGCUGUGAAUCCUGAUAUGUGCCAAAUUGAAUAUAGGCUUCCUGCAAUGGUAGUUACACAGGUACAGCUUGACCGUGCCAAGGUAUCCACGAAGUCUGCAGUUCUAAUGAAUUUAGAGUCCAGAGAUAUCAGAAGAGAGCUUGGAAUGGAAAUAAUUGAGGAACAUAUGGUGAUGGAAUAUUCUAAGCAAGAAAUGUGAAAAAUGUGGCCAUGGGGAAGCUACCUAUUAUACUAGACUGAUGAGAUCAGCAGACAAAGGGCAAACUACUUUCUACACAUGUAUCGGCUAUGGUCAUCCGUCUCAGGAGAAUUAGUGGUUUACUUUAAGGUUAUGCUUAGUUUGGGAGAGAAAAGUGGAAGGAAAAAGAAAGAUAAAGAGUGAAAAUUGAGAUGAUUUUUUGAUAGGAGAGAAAAUGAAAAGAAAGUUAAUUUUUCUUCUUCUUAUUUGAUUGUGUAUAAAGGAAA